rnacentral:tRNA from 1 species
GUCCUCUUAGUUAAAUGGAUAUAACAAGCCCCUCCUAAGGGCUAAUUGUAGGUUCGAUUCCUUCAGAGGACACCA